UAGUGCUGUCUGAAUUACUUCCUCUUACUGCUCCCUUCUGUCUUGUGUGUCUGCUUAAAUACACACACACACAACGUUUCAACUGCAGGGGACUUUGCGUGCCGAUGGAAGACCAGCAAGGAAGAGGCCAUUCUAGGUUCCCUAAAAAGGAAGGACCAAAUUCCAGGGCUAAGAUCAAGAAGAGGGAUUCAAAGGGAUGAGUUUUGCACAAGGUUAUUAGAGUGAAAAUCACCCAGAACUCAAAUGGAGAACUUCCUGAUCUAAACCCUGAUGCCUUUCGUGGAAAGAACACCAACAAUUUAAGAUAUGAAGAUGACCCCAUACUACUAGCAGAAAAAAAGCAAAGACUUGAAAUGGCUAUGGAAGAAAGUCAAGAAAGUGGAAAGAGAAGUUUACAUCUCAAGAUUUUUCAGACCUGAAUGGAACCAAAAGUAUACUGGGACUUGAAAGGUUUGCUAUGAAGGAAUUAGGUCAUGAGGUAUAAAGAUACAGUUCAUCCUAAAUUAAAAUUUUCCAUACUAUCACAUUUCCAAUUUCUGUGUAUGGUUUGAGUGAAGAAUGGCGAUAGGAAGCAAAUCAUCUUCUUUGAAAAGUGAAAAGGUUAUAUAGAUAUUGUGUAGUGCUAAAAAGUG